rnacentral:rRNA from 1 species
GUGGAUUAGAUACCCUGGUAGUCCACGCCCUAAACGAUGACAACUAGGUGUUGGGGAAGCGAUUUCUCAGUACCGCAGCUAACGCGUGAAGUUGUCCGCCUGGGGAGUACGGUCGCAAGAUUAAAACUCAAAGGAAUUGACGGGGACCCGCACAAGCGGUGGAUGAUGUGGAUUAAUUCGAUGCAACGCGAAUAACCUUACCUACCCUUGACAUGUACGGAAGCCCAACGAGAGUUGGGUGUGCCCGAAAGGGAGCCGUAACACAGGUGCUGCACGGCUGUCGUCAACU